rnacentral:rRNA from 1 species
UAUUGGUCAAUGGGCGAGAGCCUGAACCAGCCAAGCCGCGUGAAGGAUGAAGGCCCUGCGGGUCGUAAACCUCUUUUGCCUGGGAGCAGUGGUCCGGACGAGUUCGGGCCGGGAGAGUACCCGGAGAAAAAGCAUCGGCUAACUCCGUGCCAGCAGCCGCGGUAAUACGGAGGAUGCGGGCGUUAUCCGGAUUUAUUGGGUUUAACGGGUGCUGAGGCGGGCAUUUAAGCCGGCGGUCAAAUGUCGGGGCUCAACCCCGGCCUGCCGUCGGAACUGGGUGCCUUGAGUGGGCGAGAAGUAUGCGGAAUGCGUGGUGUAGCGGUGAAAUGCAUAGAUAUCACGCAGAACCCCGAUUGCGAAGGCAGCAUACCGGCGCCCUACUGACGCUGAGGCACGAAAGUGCGGGUAUCGAACAGG